UACGUAGGGUGCGAGCGUUAAUCGGAAUUACUGGGCGUAAAGCGUGCGCAGGCGGUUUUGUAAGCCAGAUGUGAAAUCCCCCGGGCUUAACCUGGGAAUGGCAUUUGGGACUGCAAGGCUUGAGUGCGGCAGAGGAGACUGGAAAUUCCUGGUGUAGCAGUGAAAUGCGUAGAUAUCAGGAGGAACACCGGUGGCGAAGGCAGACUCGCUGGGGACGUUAACUGCGCUGAGACGCGAAAGCUGGGGGAGAAAACAGGAUUAA
rnacentral:rRNA from 1 species